rnacentral:rRNA from 1 species
UAAGGAAUAUUGCUCAAUGGGAGAAAUCCUGAAGCAGCAACGCCGCGUGGAGGAUGAAGGGUCUAUGACUUGUAAACUCCUGUAAAGAAGGAAAAAAUUCCCAUUUGUUGGGUGAUGAUGGUACUUCUGGAGUAAGCCCCGGCUAACUACGUGCCAGCAGCCGCGGUAAAACGUAGGGGGCAAGCGUUGUCCGGAUUUACUGGGUGUAAAGGGUGCUCAGGCGGAUUUGUAAGUCAGAGGUGAAAUCUUACAGCUUAACUGUGAAAGUGACUUUGAUACUGCCAUCCGAGAGUAUGGAAGAGNGGGAUGUGGUAGCUGGUGUAGCAGUGAAAGGCGUAGAUAUCAGAGAGAACACCAAUGGCGAAGGCAGUAACUUGUUGCAUUACUGACGCUAAAGCACAAAAGCGUGAGUA